rnacentral:rRNA from 1 species
CAGCAGCCGCGGUAAGACAGAGGAUGCAAGCGUUAUCCGGAAUGAUUGGGCGUAAAGCGUGCGUAGGUGGCCAAUUAAGUCAAAUGUGAAAUCCCCGAGCUUAACUUGGGAAUUGCAUUCGAUACUGGUUGGCUAGAGUAUGGGAGAGGAUGGUAGAAUUCCAGGUGUAGCGGUGAAAUGCGUAGAGAUCUGGAGGAAUACCGAUGGCGAAGGCAGCCAUCUGGCCUAAUACUAACACUGAGGUACGAAAGCAUGGGGAGCAAACAGGAUUAGAUACCCGCGUAGUCCCUGUCUCUUAUAC